GCCCUCGUGGCGCAACUGGAUAGCGCUCCGGUCUUCUAAAUCGGUGGUUGCUGGUUCGAGUCCAGCCGGGGGCG
rnacentral:tRNA from 1 species